AAUAGCAAAGUUAAGCUUAAAAACGUGAACAGCUUCAGAACUAUAAAUGGGUAUGUAUACCUUUCUGCUGUCUAAGGGCAGAGAAGGGAAAGAAAGUGUGGUGCUUAUCAGAGGAGACAGCAGCAAGACACAUUGUGACAGAAAACCAAGGGUAUCCUGUGUCACAGUGAAGUGUAAUGAGGGCACCUCUCCUUUCAAGAGACGAAGAUUGAAUACAUGGGAAGCACACUCUCCGCUGUGUGUUGUCUAGGAGAGGUGCACCCUGUAUGGAAAUAUUUGGGAAGGUUAAGAUUAAGACAGGGUAAAAUAAAGCAAAGGCAAAUCACAAAGCAAGGGCUAAUGUUAAUAUGAAAAGUGCAGAAUUCAAGGAAAAAGCAUGGGGAC
rnacentral:lncRNA from 10 species